ACAGUCACACAUUAGAUACCCCCGGUAGUCCCAGCCGUAAACUAUGCGCGUUAGGUGUAUCGGUGACCACGAGUCACCGAGGUGCCGAAGGGAAACCGUGAAACGUGCCGCCUGGGAAGUACGGUCGCAAGGCUGAAACUUAAAGGAAUUGGCGGGGAGCACCACAACGGGUGGAGCCUGCGGUUUAAUUGGACUCAACGCCGGGAAGCUCACCGGAUAAGACAGCGGAAUGAUUGCCGGGCUGAAGACUCUGCAUGACUAGCUG
rnacentral:rRNA from 1 species